rnacentral:rRNA from 1 species
GACGAACCGUCCUAACGUUGUUCGGAAUCACUGGGCUUAAAGGGCGCGUAGGCGGGUUCCCAAGUCGGUGGUGAAAUCUUUCGGCCCAACCGGAAAACAGCCGCCGAUACUGGGAGUCUUGAGGGAGGUAGGGGUCGAUGGAACUUCCGGUGGAGCGGUGAAAUGCGUAGAUAUCGGGAGGAACACCAGUGGCGAAGGCGGUGCUCUGGGCUGGAACUGACGCUGAUGGACGAAAGCGUGGGUAGCAAACAGG